UACGUAGGGUGCAAGCGUUGUCCGGAAUUAUUGGGCGUAAAGAGCUCGUAGGCGGUUUGUCGCGUCGAAUGUGAAAACCCGGGGCUCAACCCCGGGCCUGCAUUCGAUACGGGCAGACUAGAGUUCGGUAGGGGAGUCUGGAAUUCCUGGUGUAGCGGUGAAAUGCGCAGAUAUCAGGAGGAACACCGGUGGCGAAGGCGGGACUCUGGGCCAUUACUGACGCUGAGGAGCGAAAGCGUGGGUAGCAAACAGG
rnacentral:rRNA from 1 species